CCUACGGGAGGCUGCAGUGGGGAAUAUUGCGCAAUGCGCGAAAGCGUGACGCAGCGACGCCGCGUGAGUGAUGAAGGUCUUCGGAUCGUAAACCUCUGUCAGCAGGGAAGAACAUUCAUAGUACUAACUAGGUGUGUAUUGACGGUACCUGCAUACGCAGCACCGGCUAACUCCGUGCCAGCAGCCGCGGUAAUACGGAGGGUGCGAGCGUUAUUCGGAGUUACUGGGCGUAAAGAGCUCGUAGGCGGUGUGUCAAGUCAUUGGUGAAAGCCUUGGGCUAAACUUGAGAAAGGCUUGUGAUACUGUCAAACUGGAGUGUCAGAGAGGAUUGCAGAAUUCCAGGUGUAGGGGUGAAAGCCGUAGAUAUCUGGAGGAACACCAGUGGCGAAGGCGACUAUCUGGCUCAAAACUGACGCUGAGGAGCGAAAGCGUGGGUAGCAAACAGGAUUAGAUACCCUAGUAGUC
rnacentral:rRNA from 1 species